UACGUAGGGGGCAAGCGUUGUCCGGAUUUAUUGGGCGUAAAGAGCGUGUAGGCGGCCAGAUAGGUCCGUUGUGAAAACUGGAGGCUUAACCUCCAGCUGUCGAUGGAAACCAUCUGGCUAGAGUCCGGAAGAGGAGAGUGGAAUUCCUGGUGUAGCGGUGAAAUGCGCAGAUAUCAGGAAGAACACCAGUGGCGAAGGCGGCUCUCUGGGACGGUACUGACGCUGAGACGCGAAAGCGUGGGGAGCGAACAGG
rnacentral:rRNA from 1 species